rnacentral:rRNA from 1 species
AUCGAACGCUGGCGGCAGGCUUAACACAUGCAAGUCGAGCGGUUGAAGGGAACUUGCUCCUGGAUUCAGCGUCGGACGGGUGAGUAAUGCCUAGGAAUCUGCCUGGUAGUGGGUGAUAACGUCCGGAAACGGGCGCUAAUACCGCAUACGUCCUGAGGGAGAAAGUGGGGGAUCUUCGGACCUCACGCUAUCGGAUGAGCCUAGGUCGGAUUAGCUAGUUGGUGGGGUAAAGGCCUACCAAGGCGACGACCCGUAACUGGUCUGAGAGGAUGAUCAGUCACACGAGAACUGAGACACGGUCCAUGCUACUACGGGACGGAGCAGUGGGGAAUAUUGGACAGUGGGCGAAAGCCUGAUACAGCCAUGCCGCGUGUGUGAAGAAGGUGUUCGGAGUGUGAAGCACUUUAAGUUGGGAGGAAGGGCAGUAAGUUAAUACCUUGCUGUUUUGACGUUACCAGCAGAAUAAGCACCGGCUAACUUCGUG